UACGGAGGGUGCAAGCGUUAUCCGGAUUCACUGGGGUUUUAAAGGGGUGCAUAGGUGGGUUUUGUAAGUCAGUGGUGAAAAUCUCCCGUGCUUUAACAUGGGAAACUGCCCAUUGAUACUAUAGAUCUUUGAAAUUUUCUGGGAUGGAUAGCGGGAAAUAUGUCAUGUAGCGGGUGAAAAUGCUUAGAUAUGACAUAGAAACACC
rnacentral:rRNA from 1 species